rnacentral:rRNA from 1 species
UACACUCCUACGGGAGGCAGCAGUGGGGAAUAUUGGACAAUGGGCGCAAGCCUGAUCCAGCCAUGCCGCGUGAGUGAUGAAGGCCCUAGGGUUGUAAAGCUCUUUCACCGGAGAAGAUAAUGACGGUAUCCGGAGAAGAAGCCCCGGCUAACUUCGUGCCAGCAGCCGCGGUAAUACGAAGGGGGCUAGCGUUGUUCGGAAUUACUGGGCGUAAAGCGCACGUAGGCGGAUCGAUCAGUCAGGGGUGAAAUCCCAGGGCUCAACCCUGGAACUGCCUUUGAUACUGUCGAUCUGGAGUAUGGAAGAGGUGAGUGGAAUUCCGAGUGUAGAGGUGAAAUUCGUAGAUAUUCGGAGGAACACCAGUGGCGAAGGCGGCUCACUGGUCCAUUACUGACGCUGAGGUGCGAAAGCGUGGGGAGCAAACAGGAUUAGAAACCCCUGUAGUCCCAUGA